rnacentral:rRNA from 1 species
GAUUUCUGGCUUGGUGCGCCUGGCCCGCCACGGUUACGUGUGUGAGUGCUGGGUCGCGCCUGCCAUCCUUCUAGAGAACGUCUCUACUCUUCAUUGAGCCGGAGUCGCAAUCUAGAUCUUUUACUUUGAAAAAAUUAGAGUGUUUAAAGCAGGCUUUUGCUAUGAAUACAUUAGCAUGGAAUAAUAAUUUAGGACUUCGGUUCUAUUUUGUUGGUUUCUAGGACUGAAGUAAUGAUUGAUAGGGAUAGUUGGGGGUGCUAGUAUUCAGCGGCCAGAGGUGAAAUUCUCGGAUUCGCUGAAGACUAACUUAUGCGAAAGCAUU